GCUAUAGUUGGAUGAACACAACUGAAAUGAAUGGAAACCAGCACCGUUACAAUCCUUUGCUAAUCAGUAAGCAUUGACAAGGUUCAAAUAAGGCUCUGCGUUUAGAUUCGGUGCAGAAUCAGAGGUUGGAUAAGUUGAAUUACUAACUUAGAUAAUAAUUAUAAUUGUGGAGGUAGUGAAAUUGAACAGUGGAAGGCACGUGAAGAUGAAGGUGGACAAACAGUGGACAUUAUGCGUAUUAUUUUAACUUAUGGGCUUGAUCCAAUUAAUGGUUCAGUGGAGAACAAACCAUGUCUAACGAAAAGGGUAGAAGAAUCUGGGAGAAGACUGCUGAAAGAAAUAGUAGAGCACAGUAACAAAGCGGAAAAUUCUAAUUUUCCAGACAGCACAGAGGUUGUCACUGGACAUGUUAAAUGAGUAAGACAAGGGAAAAAUAGAUGUUUCAAAGAUGAAGCAAGGCGACUGGCUUUGCCCGAAGUAGAACUUAAUUUCCAUCUACUAAUUAUUUAUUGUAUUAAAUUGAAAUCUUGUACUAGUUUCUCCUGCACUUGUUUAUGUUUUCAUUUUCAAUUUUCAUUGGCCAGAUGCAAUUUCAUGAACUUUACUAGAAACAUUAGGUGCUUGCGCUGUGACAGCUUCUUUGAGGAAAGAAUCAACCAAUUGAAGGAGGAUAAUAAUCACCUUCCUUUGAAGAAGGGAGACUGGAUAUGCAAUAAGUAAUGGUUGUUAUUAUCUUGUAGGCUUAUAUGACACUAGUAUUUAAUUUUAAAUUAUAAUCAAUUUUGAUUUUUGAAGAUGCAAUUUCCUAAAUUUUGCAAAGAAUACAAGAUGUUUGCAAUGCAAAGAAAGGACUUCCAAUCGUCAAAUUAAUCCCGGGGAGUGGUAAUGUGACUCAGGUGCAUCUACAUCAAUUUCAGAAGAAACAUGGUUUUCCUGAAAUGUGAUCAUAGACGCCUUAUAGUGUCAAAGGCUUCAAGCUCUUCCCUUCAACCUCAGCCAGAAGAUAUAGACCACGAUAAGAAUAGCAAAUUUGCCUUUGUGGCACAUUAGGGUAAUAGAAGUGAUGAAACACCAAUGGUGUUUGAAAGAAAAAAUAGGAACAAAGAUUCACCUAUGUGGAGAUUUGUAGAGGAUUGAAAUGAAAAUAACAAGUGCUUAAAUAAAUCAAAUAAUCCUUCUGAAUUUAUAGAUUUUCCUAUUGUUGGAGGUAAGACUCACUUGACUAAGGUACAAAGGAGAGAAGCAUACAAGACUGAGUUGCCAAAUCAGUGCAAAAGGCCUUCAUGGCAAAGUGAAACUGAUGACAAGUUUUGUUCUUCAAAUAACCUGAGUACUGAUAACGAGUUUUGUUCUGUCAAUAAUCAGAGUACUAAUGAUGAAGAAAUGGACGAAUGGUUUGGAAAAAAAGGUAGGAUUCCAGAAGAGUUAUAUUUGUAUGUAAUGUCUAUGUAAACAUUUUUCCAUUGUCUAACUAAUCAAAAAUCAUGAUAAAUAUGAUUUUUAAGAUAACUAUUAUAAAAAUCAACAAACUUAUCAUAAAAUAUAGUUUUUUAUUUGAUUUUUAAGGUUUGAAUGUCAUCUAUUUUUAAGUUAGGCUCUUAUUGUUGUGCAUAACAGGUAAACAUAGAAAUUGAUUUAAUUACGACAUAGAUUAAGUUCUAUGUGCUUGUUUACUUUUGAAUCAAUUCUUCUUUUUUUUAAUAAGACUUUUGAAUCAAUUAUGGAGGCUCCUCCAUUAUUAUUCCCCUAAAAAUAUUUAGCAGUAUGAUGUUACUUAUGUGAACAAAUUUAGUUACUUUCACUAUAACCAAUCAAUAGAUUUUGCCCUCAAUAGAUUUGAGUUUCACAUUGAGCAUUGUAAAAUAUAUACGAUUGCUUCAACAUGAUGUUUUUUAUACCAUAAGAAAAGAAUGUUUUGGACAAAGUGGUUAGAAGUGAUGAAUGUGACAUUGAGGAGGCAGCAAAGUAUGUACCUCAACACAGAUUUUGAAUUCUUGAAGAAGGAGGAUCAUAAUGGUGGUUCUUACUGUGGGAGGGUUGAUAUGGAAUGGUAACCUUGUUGUGUCCAAUGCUGGUGAUUGUCAUGCUGUGAUUAGCAAAGAGGGUAUGGCUGAAGUCCUAACAUCUGAUCACAAGCCUUCUAGGGAAGAUGAAAGGGACAAAAUUGAGACUCGGGUAAUUCUUGUAUCAUGCAUGAUAUUAUUAUUCAGCUAUUAACUAAUUAAGCUUCUAUUUUGAAUUUUGUAUGAUCAGGUUAGCAAUCAGGAAGCAAUAGAUAUUACUCGUCCUUUCUGUGUAGGGAACAAUUGACAACAACCUUUGUUGGCUUGUAAGAACUAUGGAUCAAAUGACAAUGAUGAAACCUUAGAUUAUUUUGUGCAUACCCAGGUGAGCAUAGCAAAGAAAGUAGUGAAAGUUGAAGUGCGUCUCAUAAUUUAUGAUAUCAGAAAAAAGUGGCAAUGGUCAUGAAGAAGGCUAGAGCAAUGGGCCAGAUCAUGAUGAUAUUGGGUCUUGGAUCUUCUUCAUCAAUGGAGUUUCUUGUUUCUUAAAGAUCAAUGACAGCGGAAUGGAGAAGGAAGAAAGAUGAUUGGAGAUGUCACUUCAAAAAAAAGAUGAGUCAAGAAUAAGUUCACUAUCAUACGAAGUCAUGAAUAAGAGUUUGAACGUAGGAAAAGAUGAGUGGAGAGAGAAGGAGCAUGAAAUUUUAUGCCUCAAAUGAGGUAUGAACUUUGAAGUAUAAUUCUCAAAUGAUUAAAGUUGAAAAAAAUGCGCA